GAUGAACGCUGGCGGCGUGCCUAAUACAUGCAAGUCGAGCGAACGGACGAGAAGCUUGCUUUUCUGAUGUUAGCGGCGGACGGGUGAGUAACACGUGGAUAACCUACCUAUAAGACUGGGAUAACUUCGGGAAACCGGAGCUAAUACCGGAUAAUAUUUUGAACCGCAUGGUUCAAAAGUGAAAGACGGUCUUGCUGUCACUUAUAGAUGGAUCCGCGCUGCAUUAGCUAGUUGGUAAGGUAACGGCUUACCAAGGCAACGAUGCAUAGCCGACCUGAGAGGGUGAAAGGCCAAACGGGAAAUGGGAACGGGUCCAGCCCCCUAGGGGGGGAAGGGGUGGGAAAUCUUCCGAAAGGGGCGAAAGCCUAACGGGGCAACGCCGGGUGAGUGAUGAAGGUUUUCGGAUCGUAAAACUCUGUUAUUGGGGAAAAAAAAAUGUGUAAGUAACUGUGAACAUUUUGACGGUACCAAAUCAAAAAGCCACGGCUAACUACGU
rnacentral:rRNA from 1 species